GAUGAACGCUAGCGGCAGGCCUAAUACAUGCAAGCCGGACGGCAAGUUGAGUAGCAAUACUUGACCUAGAGUGGCGUAAGGGUGCGUAACACGUAUGCAAUCUGCCCACAGCCGGGAGAUAGCCCUCCGAAAGGAGGAUUAAUAUCCCAUAGGAAGAUGAGAUGGCAUCAUUUUAUUUUAAACUACGGGGCUGUGGAUGAGCAUGCGGUUGAUUAGCUAGUUGGCGGGGUAAAGGCCCACCAAGGCGAUGAUCAAUAGGGGACCUGAGAGGGUGAUCCCCCACACUGGCACUGAGAUACGGGCCAGACUCCUACGGGAGGCAGCAGUAGGGAAUAUUGGACAAUGGGUGUAAGCCUGAUCCAGCCAUGCCGCGUGCAGGAAGAA
rnacentral:rRNA from 1 species